UGACUGCUCCGGUAGCCUAAGUGGUUAGAGCGUCUGCCUUGGAUGUGGGAGGUGGCUGGUUUUAAUUCCGGCCUAAUCAU